rnacentral:rRNA from 1 species
UACGUAGGGUCCGAGCGUUGUCCGGAAUUACUGGGCGUAAAGAGCUCGUAGGUGGUUUGUCGCGUUGUUCGUGAAAACUCACAGCUCAACUGUGGGCGUGCGGGCGAUACGGGCAGACUAGAGUACUGCAGGGGAGACUGGAAUUCCUGGUGUAGCGGUGGAAUGCGCAGAUAUCAGGAGGAACACCAGCGGCGAAGGCGGCGCUCUGGGCCGGAACUGACGCUGAGGAGCGAAAAGCGUGGGUAGCAAACAGG